UAUCCAUCUAUCUAUCUCUCUCUCUCUCUCUAUCUCUCUCUCUCUCUCUCUCUUUCUCACAAACGGCCGCGGAGGAGGAGGAGGAACAAAAAUUCGGCGACGAUGAGAAGAGCCCGUUUUUGAGGAGGCAGGUUGGUGCUUUCUCAGGAGAGCUAAAUAUCAUCGAAGAAGAAGAAACCUGUCUCCAGAUCUGUCUCUGUGAUUGACAUAUUAAAAUAUCUAGACAUCGUAUACAAAUGAAACCAGGACAAUCAGGAGCUGUGGUGCCACUACGAUGCAACGUGACUCACCGAGGGCUGAGGACCAGCUACAGGUCUGAAGGGAAAAAAUACCUCGUCCUCACAGGGAGACAGACAGCUUCCUACCGCUGCUGGCUCGACCCCCUAAUGGGGCUGAAAAGAGGAGCUGAGUGCACAGGUCUCCCCUGAUGCCAGUACUCAGCCUCUCCACCAACAAGGCUCCUGCAGUGCCUCCUCGUGGCCACACAUGGUAAGUGGGAACUUUAAACUGAGGAUAGUUUUUCCCCUAUGGCCCCUCCAAAACUUCCAUGUAGUGUAGCUAUUCAUCUGAUCAAAUGAUCAAAAAGACAUCAGAGGAGCCCAAAGACAAGAAGUUAGAGAUGAGUAAAGUAAACUUGUUCCAGCCACAUUGCACAUUGUCUUAUGUACAAAAUGAUACCAUGCUCUCUCCUCUCCGUUGACUACAGAGAAGUUGCUCUUACCCUGAAAAAGUUUUGCAAUCUGACGGUUACUUAUGGUGAAGAGUAAAUCCAAGAAUGUCCACUAUUAUUCUAAUUGGAAAAGUUACAAAGAUUUCUCUAUGAUUAAUAUCGAUAUUAAAACAAAGCAAACCAAUAUAAAGACAUGACCACUUGCACCACUCACUGCACUAUGUCUGUACACUGUACAGUGUUAAGUCAUAGUUUAUAGUUUAUUUUGUCUGCUCUGGUCCUGCAUGGUUUGAAAUUAGUUAUAAGCAAAACAAUACAUAACGCUCCAAAAACACAAGAAAAACAA